GACGAACGCUGGCGGCGUGCUUAACACAUGCAAGUCGUACGGUAAGGCCCUUUCGGGGGUACACGAGUGGCGAACGGGUGAGUAACACGUGAGUAACCUGCCCACAACUUUGGGAUAACGCUAGGAAACUGGUGCUAAUACUGGAUAUGUGCUCCUGCUGCAUGGUGGGGGUUGGAAAGCUCCGGCGGUUGUGGAUGGACUCGCGGCCUAUCAGCUUGUUGGUGGGGUAGUGGCCUACCAAGGCGGCGACGGGUAGCCGGCCUGAGAGGGUGACCGGCCACAUUGGGAUUGAGAUACGGCCCAGACUCCUACGGGAGGCAGCAGUGGGGAAUAUUGCACAAUGGGCGCAAGCCUGAUGCAGCAACGCCGCGUGCGGGAGGACGGCCUUCGGGUUGUAAACCGCUUUCAGCAGGGACGAAGCUUUUUGUGACGGUACCUGCAGAAGAAGCACCGGCUAACUACGUG
rnacentral:rRNA from 1 species